CCUGGGGACGGAAGAGGAGACGUGUGUUCAUAAGAGGAAAGGCUAAAAAAGUUAAGCGAAGGACCAAAGGCUUUUCUUCUCCAUUCCCGGGAGCCUGGUACUCCCGAGCGAGCACAUCUCAAACCACAUAUGCGCAUCAGGAUCCGACAGCACCGAGACCAUGUGCUUUUACAGUUGGGACAACAGUGAAGUCAGGUAGAAAGAUCAGGGCAAAGGCGGCAAGAUGUGAAGAGGCCUCGGACAGCGGCGCUCAAGCAGCAUGGCGUGAGAAGCCGCAGGUGAACCCCGAAUCUCGGCAGUUCCCCACAUCCAGCCAUUAACUCCCUUCUGAGGCUCCCCUUGCCUGACACAACCCCAUCUGUCACCACUGCCGCGUGCUGCUCACAGCCUGGUCCCAGACAGCGGAGGGUGUGCAGCGGGGCUGCGUCCUGCAGCUAUGCAGAUCACAGCAGCUUUCCACCAGCUGACUGCACCCCACCACGUCCCCAAGAUGUAGUCACUUGCUCUCCAGCUGUAGGACGGCCAGACUUUCUAUGCUUUUGCUAAAAAAUCAGAUUUCAACAGAUUGAAUGAAGAGGCAAAGGCAACGGUCCAGCACAUACGAGAAAGCCACAAAUUAAAAAGUUUGUAAAUGUGUCAGAUGAAUGUAAAAAGAAAUGCUUUGUUUGGGAAAAGGUAGCUAUUUUAUUUAAAAUAGUAACAUAAUGCUUGCUAUUUUUUAAAUAAAGUAGUAUUUCUUACAUUCUUGGUUUAAAUUUCUAAUAUGAUUCUGACACUCUAAUUCACAUUAACAAAAAACCAUCUAUCCCAAGUAAAAUUUAAUGAUGUUAUCUGCUCAUUUCAAACAAUUUAAAGUCUUUCCUUUCAGAAGGAAGAUGUAAACAGAACACAGCCCAUUGAAUGGUUAUUUGGGUCAGUAUCUCUAUGUAGACCAGGUUAGCCUCUAACUCACAGAGAACUGCCUGCCUCUGCCUCCCAGAGUACUGAGAUUAAAGGUGUGCGCCACCAUGCCCAGCUGCUGUCUUCUAAGUUUUAGCAUAUGAUCUAUGCUAAUUUAGGAUUUCAUGCCUAGAAAUAGACUCUCUCGAUACAGUGUGGGACCACAUUCAGGAACCUUCACUGUAGGAUUACUCCCCUCACAAAAACAUAGGAUCUAAAUUAGAACAGCAGUCUCUUGACAUAAAAAAUUCAAUAAAUGUAGGUAUGUGUGUCUGUAAAGUAGAAACACAUAAAAUGUAACACGAGCUAUUUCUAGAGACUAGAACCACAUCCCCGCUCCUAUCAAGAGUUUUGUAGCUUUGACUUAAUGGGCAAGACACAUGGUGUAAUGUACUUCUGCACAUCCAGGUGUCCUAAGGCAUGUGCUGACUGGGCUAUCAGCGUGUGUGCAGUGCAAGAGCACACAUAUAUGUGGCACACACACACACCACACAAUGAAAAUGAAUAAAAUAAAAUUUGAAAUCUUGGGCAGUUUUUGCACUAAUAUUUAUCUAGAUAAACUCAGAAUGCUAAAUUCCAAAAUUAUAUUAAAUUUAUAAGUUAAUGUAAGGAAAUCUGACGAUUUAAAAAUAUUUUUUUUGGCUUUGGAGAGAUGACUCAGUCGUUAAGAACAUGUUUUUACUCUUGCCAAGAACCUGAGUUGGUUCCCAGCACCCAUGUCACAUGGCUCACAAUGGCCUAUUAAUUUCAGCUUUGAAGGAUCCAGCACCCUCUUGUGGCCUCCAAGGGCGUGGCAGUCAAGGGGCAACCUGUGGGAGCUUGAAUCAAAUCUUUACCUGCUAACCCCUCUUACUGGCACCUAGAACUGUAAUUUGCCUUUACUUUAUUUUGGAUUUUGCUUGUUUGAUUUUUGGAGACAGAGUUUCACUGGGUAGCCCAGGCUGGCCUGGAAGUUGCUAUGUGGACCAGUGGACCAGUCAAACUCAUUUUCACAGAGAUCUCCGCUGUCUGCUUUUGCCUCCUACACACUAGGAUUAAAGGCAUGGGCCCAGCAAAAAUUGGCUUUUUAAUAAAAUUGAUUCUCCUACCAAGAAA